AGUGAACGCUGGCGGUAUGCCUAACACAUGCAAGUCGAACGGCACCACAGUAAGAGCUUGCUCUUACGGGCGUCGAGUGGCGGACGGUUGCGUUAUACUUCGGAAUCUACUUUUUCGUGGGGGCUAACGUCGGGUAACUUACUCUAAUACCGCAUACGACCUACGUGUGUAGGCAGGCGUUCUUCUGACCUUUCGCGAUUGUAUGAGCCGAUGUCGGCUUAGCUAGGUGGCGGGGUAGAGGCGCUCCAAGGCGACAAUGGGUAUAGGGUCUGAAGGGAUGGUCAGCCACACGGGAAGUGAGACAGGGUACAGACUCCGACGGGAGGAAACAGUCGAGAAUAUUGGACAAGGGGGGAAAGCCUGAUCCAGCAAUACCGCGUGAGGGAAGAAGGCGUUAGGGUUGUAAAGUCAUUUUGUUGGGAGAGAAAAGCAGCAGGUUAAUACGCCGCUGUAAUGACGGUACCCAAAGAAUAAGCACCGGCUAACUUCGUG
rnacentral:rRNA from 1 species